AUUGAUAUUGUAUUACCGCAUUUAAUUUAAUAUAAUAAUAUUAUAAUGUUGAUUACAGUAUAUAUAGAAUUACUAUGUGUGAUUCAAUUUAUAAAAUUCAGUAAUUCUGAUGGUAAAAAAUAUAAUAAUUUUGAUAGUAAGAGUUUUACAUAACAUGUAAGAUUACAUGCCAUCGGUAAUAUAAGAUAUCCGAGUCCCUAUUUGGUAAUAUUUUUGGAGUAGUUUUACACCAUUUUUAAUGUUACCAAUCAAAUUUCAAAUUGAAUGAACAAAACAUAGUAAUUCUGACCGAAUAACCGGAAUAAAAAACGCCCAAAUUUUAAAAUAAUAAUAAUAAUAUUAU
rnacentral:lncRNA from 1 species